UACGGAGGGAGCUAGCGUUGUUCGGAAUUACUGGGCGUAAAGCGUGCGCAGGCGGUUUUGUAAGCCAGAUGUGAAAUCCCCGGGCUCAACCUGGGAAUGGCAUUUGGGACUGCAAGGCUGGAGUACGGCAGAGGAGACUGGAAUUCCUGGUGUAGCAGUGAAAUGCGUAGAUAUCAGGAGGAAUACCGAUGGCGAAGGCAGGUCUCUGGGCUGAUACUGACGCUCAUGCACGAAAGCGUGGGGAGCAAACAGG
rnacentral:rRNA from 1 species